ACUACGGGGGGCAGCAGUGGGGAAUAUUGCACAAUGGGGGGAACCCUGAUGCAGCGACGCCGCGUGAGUGAAGAAGUAUCUCGGUACGUAAAGCUCUAUCAGCAGGGAAGAAAAUGACGGUACCUGACUAAGAAGCCCCGGCUAACGACGUGCCAGCAGCCGCGGUAAUACGUAGGGGGCAAGAGUUCUCCGGAUUUACUGGGUGUAAAGGGAGCGUAGACGGCACGGCAAGACCGGCGUGAAAGCCCACGGCUUAACCAUGGGACUGCUCUGGAAACUGUGGAGCUUGAGUGCGGGAGGGGCAGGCGGAAUUCCUAGUGUAGCGGUGAAAUGCGUAGAUAUUAGGAGGAACACCGGCGGCGAAGGCGGCCUGCUGGACCGUAACUGACGUUGCGGCUCGAACGCGUGGGGAGCAAACAGGAUUAGAUACCCGAGUAGUC
rnacentral:rRNA from 1 species